GAGUGUAUAGCUUAGCUGGUUGAAAGCGAUAAACUUUUAAUUUAUAGAUCUUAGGUUCGAAUCCUAAUACACUCA
rnacentral:tRNA from 1 species